rnacentral:lncRNA from 1 species
CAUCUUUUCCUUACUUUUAAACUAUUCUAAAAUAAAAAAAGCUUAUUAAAACUGCACAGAAAAUCAAAGGAACCAAAAUUCAGGAUUAUGUCUACCUCUGGCAAGGAAAACAGAGCAAGGAUAUACAUGGGGGAGUUCACAAAGAUGGGUAGUAUUUUCUUGAGGUGACAUUUAUAUUUUUAUUUUUAAUAUUAAAGUGUACUUCAUAAACCCUUUGGCAUGGAUAUUUUACAAGUUUGAAAAAAGCAACGACGAUCUGAAGAUAAAUUGUACAGAGAUAGAAGGAACUUUAAGGGGUAGGUUAUUCAGAGAGGUUUUUUGGGGGAAGUCAUACUCAAUUGGCCAAUGAAUUUAAUUGGAAUGUUACAGCUAUAAUUGAUUUGGAUUUGAAGAUGGACUAUGAAACUGCAAUUAUGCAUUGUGCCCAGUACUUUUAUAAGAGUAAAGUUAGAAAGGUCAUCUUUCCAAUGUGAGAAAUGUAUUUGGCAGGGCAUUUGAAAGGGGAUGCUCUGAGAAUUAUGCAUAUUAAUUUGCCUUAGAAAAGCGAAUAAUGAUGCUCAAAGUGAUAAUAAUAGCUACCAUUUAUUUAUGCCUAUUAUGAGCUUAAUCACAAGUCGACUGCUUUCCAAAUCCUGCUGAAGGUGGUGCAUAGAGAAUUGAUAAUCAAAAGAAAUGUUCAGUAAACUUUUAUUGCUACUGGGUGUAUUCAUUUUAUUAUUACUCAUAUUCUGCCCACCACCUUACAUAUAUUUUGGUUUAUUGUGGCUGGAUAAUGAAAGAUAUCCACUCACUACUCCUUAGAACUUGUGAAUAUAUUGUCUUUUGUGGCAUAAGGGACUUUGCAAAUGAGAUCAAGUGCAAGAUCUUAAAAUGGGGAGAUCAUGCCGGAUUACAUGGAUGGGUCCAGUGUAAUUACCUGGGUGCUCAUAAGAGGGAUACAGGAUGAGUCAGAAUCAGAAAAGGAGAUGUGAUGAUGGAAUCAGAGGUUGAACUGAUGUGCUUUUAAGAGUGAGGAUGGAUCCAUGGACGCAGGCGUAAGAACAGCUUUUAUAAGCUGGAAAAAGACAAGAUAGACUCUACCUUAAGGUUCCAGAAGGAACACAGCCUUGAUGACACUUAUUUGGGCUUCUGACAUCCAAAAUUGAAUGAACUCAGUCUGUGCUUUUUUUACAUCACUGAGUUUUUGGCCAUUUAUUAUAGUGACAAUAGGGAACUAAUAGGUUAUGAAAUCCCAUAAGAACUCUCGGGACUGGGGCUCAGAUUCCUCAAUUUAUAAAUGAAGAUUUGAUCUUAGUAAAAUUAAGGAAUGUGUUCAGCUCUUCUCUUGGCAGAGCUGAGAUUUGAACCCAAAUUCCUCUUCCUCUGAAGUCUAUUCCCUUUCAGCCCUCCUUGACCAGCAUAAUGGAGAGGCCCCAGAGGUAAGUUUGCCUCCACUGGAAUCCUACUUUAUUACUGCUAAGGCAGAGUUACUUAACAUCUUCAGAAGGAAUCCUAACUCCAUUUUACCUAGGCUUCUUCAUCAACAUAAUAGGUAGAAUAAAAGUACUUACCCUACAGCUUUGUUGUGGGAAGUAAAGGAAAUAAUCUUAAGCAUUAAGAACACAUAUUUAUAUCUACCUGAAUAGUCUGGAGUCCCUUUCAACCCAAUAUGUCCAAGGUUUAAUUUAUUAUCCAAACUCAAACCUACUCCACCUCCCAUGUACUCUCUUUACUCUUAUAGCUUUAUCACCCACUUUAUGGUUUUUGUACCUUAUCUUCUAACUUCCAGCUAGAAACCUUGUCAUCUGUGACUUCCACUUCUGUCGUACACACAUUUUGGAAAUUGAAUUGUUUACAUGUAAUAUGAUUCACUUGUCAUCUAAAUGUGGGCAAUUUACAUGGUCAACUGUUUUUCCUUCUCCCUUCCCCCACAAUCUAGAAGCCUCUUCCACUGUUAUUGCCAAUAUUUCAUUAGAAAUUCCUGUUCAGGUCUUAUUUUCCCUUAGAAAUUGUUAAAGAAUUCCAAAACUGAUUCCAUUUAGAGAAAGACACUUUUUUCUUUCAAGUGCUAGAUGAAGCUUGGCACUGCCCUUGAUGUUACUGCUGAAGAGAGGCCUGCUUGUCUACUCUGCAGUGAGGUCACUGCUGGUCCAGGUCCCAUCCCAGGCCACAAGUGCCUGUGGGCUCACGCUUCAAGGUUGUUGCUGAAACUUGGCCUCUGUCGACCCGUACCCAAUAGAAAUGUGGAGACGGAAUUGUGUAAAGGAGAAAGGAGUGGCUUUUAUUGCUUUGCCAGGCAAAGGAGGCCACAGGUGGUUAAUGCCCUCAAGACUGCCCUCCUUUGGGAGAGAAGAGGAGUUAACAUCUUCCAUUUGGUGGGGGUUAGAGUUGUGCAGAAGAGCUGAAAGAUGUUUCAAUUAGUAUCCCUUGAGGGGGAACCAGGACUCUGCCCCAAGGCUGCACUAUUGCUUCUUGACUGCUCCUCCCUGGUCUCUGGAUCCCCUCCCUUCCCUGAUGAGUAACAGGUUGAACCCACCCUUUGGAACUCAGGGAAGGUCAUGGAGGCUGAAUGAGACUUGCUUCCUAAAAUCUUGAAAUAGAGGACACAGAAAGACUUUUGUACCCAGGAGUGCCACAAGGCCCUGCUCCAUUUCAUUGGUGGCUCCCUCAGUUCACCUCAUCAUGCUCAGGUGUUGUUUCCUAGACCUGUGCAUUCAGGACAGCAUGGUGGGUACUGAAUGCAGGCAUUAUUGACCAUAGUCUUUUCCAGAGCCAUCCAAACCCAACUCAUAAAUUCCAGGUCUGAGCCCGUCAAUAAUUGAGACACGCAUCUCCACUCAACACAACUCAUCCUUUUACAGUAAGUUCCGUUCUGGGGCAUUUUCUUUCCAUCAACAUCUUCCUGGUCCAUAGCGACAUAGUGUCUAAUAUUUGAGCUGUAUGAGGAGAAAAGAUCAAUAUUGCGUUCUUAAAAAACAUUGACAGUUUUCUUCCCAGAAAGUCUGUUUUAUUCAUGUAUGGUAUUUAAAAUUUUUCUCACACGCCCAUGUACACCGAGAGAUACUGGAAAGGUACAGGUGAUAUAAGUCAAGGACAUGAUUGUAUCAAAACUUUCUGAGAACUGGAGUUCCCUAUGUGGUGCAGUGAAAAUGAAUCUGACUAGUAUCCAUGAAGAUGUGGGUUUGAUCGCUGGCCUUGCUCUGUUGCCAUGAGCUGCGGUGUAGGUCACAGACACGGCUUGGGGCUUGGAUCUGACGUUGCUGUGAUUGUGGUGUA